ACGAACGCUGGCGGCAGGCCUAACACCUGCAAGUCGAGCGGACCCUUCGGGGUUAGCGGCGGACGGGUGAGUAACGCGUGGGAAUAUGCCCUUCUCUACGGAAUAGUCCUGGGAAACUGGGGGUAAUACCGUAUACGCCCUUUGGGGGAAAGAUUUAUCGGGGAAGGAUUAGCCCGCGUUGGAUUAGGUAGUUGGUGGGGUAAUGGCCUACCAAGCCGACGAUCCAUAGCUGGUUUGAGAGGAUGAUCAGCCACACUGGGACUGAGACACGGCCCAGACUCCUACGGGAGGCAGCAGUGGGGAAUCUUAGACAAUGGGGGCAACCCUGAUCUAGCCAUGCCGCGUGAGUGAUGAAGGCCUUAGGGUUGUAAAGCUCUUUCAGCUGGGAAGAUAAUGACGGUACCAGCAGAAGAAGCCCCGGCUAACUCCGUG
rnacentral:rRNA from 1 species